rnacentral:rRNA from 1 species
AACGUAGGAGGCGAGCGUUAUCCGGAUUUACUGGGCGUAAAGGGCGUGUAGGCGGUGCCCUAAGUUGGGCGUGAAAGCCUCUGGCUUAACUGGAGAAAGUCGUCCAAUACUGGGACACUUGAGGGCAGGAGAGGAAGGCGGAAUUCCCGGUGUAGCGGUAAAAUGCGUAGAUAUCGGGAGGAACCCCGGUGGCGAAGGCGGCCUUCUGGCCUGUCCCUGACGCUGAAGCGCGAAAGCAUGGGGAGCAAACGGGAUUAGAUACCCCCGUA